CUCGUAAUCACGUGGUCAAACAUUUUGGCAAUAUGGCGGCCAAGUGCCGAAAUUUUUACCUGUCGGAAACUAUUAGGUAGUUUAUGUUCGUAAUAAGAUUUUUAUUUGUCUAUCCUUGGCUUAUCAACAGAUUAUAUAUAGUUUUAUCAAGUAACGAUAUUACAGCGCAACAAAAAAGCUGUGAAAAUAACAGACGAUGAAGUAAAAUUGAUGUUACGAUCCUAUUAAGCUAAUCCAACAAAGUGGUCGGACAUAAUUGAAGAAAUUAAACAAAAUAUUAACCAGUUAAGCCAGCCAGCCAAAGAUCUUUAUAGAAAUGCAACUGGGAAGCAACUACGGGACCGUCUGUCAACAAAACUUAGCAAGCUGAUGGCCAAACAGCCGAAUCAGAUCGAAAACAUUGAUAUAAGAGAGCUUGUUACGGCCAUAAAAGACGCAGAACGCAGGCUUGUAGACAGACCAGCAGCUGGACAAGCAGAACAGCCGAGGACAAAGCCUGCUGAUGGACCGCAACCACAACCAGCCGGUCACGAUCAAGCACAGCCGGAACAGCAGCGCCCCUCCCACACGAGACAUACGCGACAAUAUAGCUGCUGGGCUUUUCUCUUCUGAGAGCGAUAGUGACAACGACGUCAGCAGGGAGUCCCAAGAAAACAAUAGGCGCAGACGUCGCCGUCCGCUCGCUGAACUAGUCCGGGAAAAUCACGAACUAUAUAAUAAGUUUAUGAAGAGGAAAAUGCCAAGGCUUUUGAGAGACAUUGGCUACGAUUCGUCUGAAUCUAAUUAGAUGUUUUGCUUUCAAAUACCAUUUUAAUAAAAAGUGUCUUGAAUCCAGAAAUAAUUUGUAUUUGCCUUGCUUUCAGCUUAAUGUGUUUUGAGAAGUCCCCCAAAUAUAAUAUAUAGUUCACGGACCGCUCUCCAUGUUCAUUGUCGUCCGCACAAGUACAAUAAAUACUUUCGGUAUCACAAGUGUGAAGCUGAUUAUCAAUUUGUAGCAAAUCAUUGAACGAGCACCCAAAAAUUUCAUAUGACAUUUUUAGGGCUGACAGUGGAACAUCAUCAUCAUC